GACGAACCGUGCAAACGUUAUUCGGAAUCACUGGGCAUAAAGGGCGCGUAGGCGGCUCCAAAAGUCAGGGGUGAAAUCCGGCAGCUUAACUGUCGCAGUGCCUUUGAUACUGUGGAGCUAGAGGGAGGUAGGGGUCUGUGGAACUUCCGGUGGAGCGGUGAAAUGCGUUGAUAUCGGAAGGAACGCCGGUGGCGAAAGCGGCUUCCUGGACCUGUUCUGACGCUGAGGAGCGAAAGCGUGGGGAGCGAUCCGG
rnacentral:rRNA from 1 species